UACGUAGGGACCGAGCGUUGUCCGGAAUCAUUGGGCGUAAAGAGCGUGUAGGCGGCUAUUUAAGUCCUGCGUGAAAUCCUGCGGCUCAACCGCAGACGGUCGUGGGAAACUGGAUGGCUAGAGUGCGGGAGAGGAGAGUGGAAUUCCCGGUGUAGCGGUGAAAUGCGCAGAUAUCGGGAAGAACACCCGUGGCGAAGGCGGCUCUCUGGACCGGUACUGACGCUGAUGCGCGAAAGCGUGGGGAGCAAACGGG
rnacentral:rRNA from 1 species